CCUGACGACCAUAGCGAGCGUGUCCCACCUGAUCCCAUGCCGAACUCAGCAGUGAAACCGCUUAGCGCCGAUGGUAGUGUGGGGCUUCCCCAU
rnacentral:rRNA from 1 species